rnacentral:misc_RNA from 1 species
CUCUGCUUCAUUUUACAAUCAACGUCUUUGAUAAACGUAAAACUGAUACUGUAAUCCAUAACGUAAUUGAGCAUGAUAGACGCGAUGCCGAUCGAAAUUAUAUGAAAUAUCAAUUUUCUCAAUGAAGUGUAAUGGUCAAUAAAUAUAUUGCAUAAAAUAUAUUGCAGACGGUAAAAAGAUGUUAUAAUUCGAUAUUUUCACCGACAAGUAGAAACGUAAACGCGCAGUUACAGCGAUCACAGCGGUAGAAAAUCAGCUGGGCCAGCGAAUCUGUGUCACGCUGGGGGGUUCUAGACUAGUGGUGCGGCUAUACCGAAUAUUCAGUAUUCGGCCGUCUUCCUCGACGGGUAGUAGCGCAGUGCCGCUCGGUUUACAGUAUCAUAGUUAUACCACACGUAUUACCGUCUUUCUAGCCUAUACCGUAUUCUCAUUUAACUACACGUGAACGUACAACUUAUUCUUAAUUGUUUUUGUUCACAAUCAUUGUUACAGGAGGAUCGUUGAAUAUUUCAAACAGCGAACUCAACAAAUUCAAGGAUAAAGACGUAAUCUUGGGAGAGGUAGUAUUUACCUGUAACAGACUGUUUAGUAGAGAAGCCGAAAUAAAAGUGACUAUAUAGUAAAGAGGAUAUUAAAAGCAUAUUGGAAAAUAACGAUACAUAUCAUUUUGAAUAUUACUCGCAUAGAUAACCCAUAAGAUGCUGAGGAAACGCGAAAAUAACCGAUCGCAAAACACGUAUACUAGAGAACAAUCAAGUAUCCUACGAACCCGAUUUUCUUUUUCAUCAUGACGUUUAAUCUUCUUAUCGCACAAUAACAGUCCGAUAAACUGAAAUAAUUGUUCGUUUCAAGCGUUGUACCAUGAAAAAGGGCAGUUUCUUAAGCUGUUCUAAUUAAUAGCUGUCCUAAUCUGUAAGAAAUAAUAGAUUUAUCGUGGAUCAUCGAUGUACUAUACUGUUGUGUUUGCAGCAGACAUUCGAUGUUUUUCUUGUAUAAACGAAAAAUUCGUGAUUAUCGAAUGUAUGACCUAUGAUCUAAUGAUAUUGUCAUCAACGCGGAAGGUGAAACGUUAUUAGAAUAAUUAAGAAAAUAAUUUGGGGUAUCAAUUAUGAGAACAAGCAAGCGAGUGCGCGCGUGAUUCAACGAUAUUCGAACGGCAUUCAUGCGUGACGAGAAAUUGGACAAAAUGUUCAAUUUGUAUCAAAAUUUAAACAAAAGAGACGAAGAUCACAAAGAAUCGGACGUGACCGGACACGACAGAUUCUGGCAGGAACGUCCGAGAACGCGCCGGAAACGUCGUGCCGUUAAUCGAAGAACUCAAAGCGCCAUUGAACUUGAUUCCGAGGCCAUAGUUUCCGCACGAGGUACUCUUCGCCGUGGAAGAAGCGCGAGCAUCGAAGACGAAGAUAGCGAUGAAGAAAAAAGUUACCAGUUGACCAAUAAAAUCGACAAUCUAGCCAAAAUAUUAUUUAGUCGCGUAUCCGCUGCAAGAGGUUGCAAGGAUUCCGAUGUCAGGAAUGGAAGGCACAGCUAUACUGCGCUGGGUCACGGAUCAUCCGUUUGCGAGAAUUCUGGUGAAUGCAUGGAAAUGGAGAAAAGGUCCAGGGACCGUGCCCUAUCAAUCUGCCAGACAUAUAUUUGUAGAAUGCCACGUUACAAUCUCGUCAAGCAGCUGUGUAAUCUCGGUUCUAGAAUGGACAAACACUGGUUCAUCGUGAGAGAUACUUCUUUAAAAACUGAUCGACUGGUUACGUUAGCUCCGUUAAGCAGAAAUUGCUCAUUGAGCAUAACCCCACUGACAAAAAAUAUUUUGAAUGAUUUGUUCUUAGCCUUACAACAUCCGUACAUAUGCCCGAUAUUUGAUAUCGAUUUUCUCGAAUUCGAGAGUCAAAACUAUGUGAUCGUGGUUCAACCGAUCAGUCAAGGCAGCCUGAAAGAUUUGAUAUACGGGAUCGAAAGAACAGGCUGGAACGAGGAUUGGAAUCAAAAGUACGGUUCUCGCGGUAAAGGACUUCCUUUACCUCAGGUUCAACAAAUGGGACGUCAGGUGCUGGAAGCAUUGGUUUUCUUGAAAGAAAGAGGAUUUCCGACUGUAAUCCAUUUACAUUCGGGAAACGUGCUCAUUCAAAACGGGGUCGCGCGUCUUGCCGGUCUCGAGAAUACACUUCUCGGCUUCACCAGUCGAAUACAUCCGUUGAUCGCUUCUAAAAUAUCUCAAACUGUUUCGAUCGAUAUGACAUGUUUCGGUCAUAUGUUGUUUGAGAUGUGUGCCGGUUAUGAAUUACCAUCGUUUAAGCCAAAUUCUAUACAUCUGUCGGAUGUUGAAAUGUCGUCGAGCUACUCAAAUUCAUAUUCGGUGACUCACCUAAUCAUCACAAGAUUGUCGAGGAACUCCUUGUACAUGAUUUAUUCAGAAAUAUUGAUCUUCGUGAAAUGCGAAGUGCUACCGUCACAAUAUUUCGUCCCAGAUUAACACCGCCUAUAGUAAACUUACUUGACGGCAUUAAACGACAAAAUGCCAAUAAAAGAAUCAUACAGUUGGAGACUGUUGAUAGCGAUGCAAUGUCUUUGCAUAGAUCGCAUACUGUUUGCAAAAAUUCUUUGC